UACGGGGGGAGCAAGCGUUGUUCGGAUUUACUGGGCGUAAAGGGCGCGUAGGCGGCCAGCGCAAGUCAGUUGUGAAAUCUCCGGGCUUAACUCGGAAAGGUCAACUGAUACUGCGCGGCUAGAGUGCGGAAGGGGCAACUGGAAUUCUCGGUGUAGCGGUGAAAUGCGUAGAUAUCGAGAGGAACACCUGCGGCGAAGGCGGGUUGCUGGGCCGACACUGACGCUGAUGCGCGAAAGCCAGGGGAGCGAACGGG
rnacentral:rRNA from 2 species